rnacentral:rRNA from 1 species
UACGAAGGGGGCUAGCGUUGUUCGGAAUUACUGGGCGUAAAGCGCACGUAGGCGGAUAUUUAAGUCAGGGGUGAAAUCCUGGAGCUCAACUCCAGAACUGCCUUUGAUACUGGCGAUCUUGAGUCCGGGAGAGGUGAGUGGAACUGCGAGUGUAGAGGUGAAAUUCGUAGAUAUUCGCAAGAACACCAGUGGCGAAGGCGGCUCACUGGCCCGGUACUGACGCUGAGGUGCGAAAGCGUGGGGAGCAAACAGG